AUACUUACCUGGCAGGGGAGAUAUCAUGAUCACGAACGUGGUUUUCCCAGGGCAAGGCUUAUCCAUUGCACUCCGGAUGUGCUGACCCCUGUGAUUUCCCCAUAAAAUUAAAAAAAAAAAAGAAAGAAAAAAAAUUUUAAAAAAGAUAACCCAUAAAUAUUUGCAAAUUAC